GAUGAAGAACGCAGCGAAAUGCGAUAAGUAGUGUGAAUUGCAGAAUUCAGUGAAUCAUCGAAUCUUUGAACGCACAUUGCGCCCCUUGGUAUCCCGAGGGGCAUGCCUGUUCGAGCGUCAUUUCACCACUCAAGCCUGGCUUGGUGUUGGGCGACGUCCCCUUUAGGGACGCGCCUCGAAACGCUCGGCGGCGUGGCACCGGCUUUAAGCGUAGCAGAAUCUUUCGCUUUGGAAGUCGGGGCCCCGCCUGCCGGAAUACCUACUCGUAAGGUUGACCUCGGAUCAGGCAGGGAUACCCGCUGAACUUAAGCAUAUCAAUAAGCGGACGA
rnacentral:misc_RNA from 1 species